UCCCUGCCUGCAGGUUCUGCUCGGGGUGGUACCUUCACCCAGCCUUGGGGCUGCUGUGCCCUGCAGCACAUUGCUCUUUACAGCCCAGCCGGAGGCAGCAGCACUGGGAGCUGCCUGCAGAAACUGAAAGGCAAAGGAGAGGAACAGUGAAACUAAACAAGACUGGAGUCCUAUCAAAGCUUUCGGGAGAACAGGAUUAGGGCUGCACUGGGUAACAUCCACUUGCAGAUGGAGCAUCUGGCACUGUGACCAGAACUUUAUCACCAUUCAGAGUAAUGUGAUGUACUCAAAGAACAAGAAUGCUCAAUUUUUCCUUCACUGGUUUCCUGAUGGAAGACACAAGUCUCAUGAGAAGAAGAACAGGUUAGGUUAACAUCUCCUGGUACUCUAGGAUUGCUGCCCCUCUCUCCAGUUUCUCCUGGCCUGUACCCUGAUGGCCUCCCCAGACACCAGCACUGUGGAAUGCAGAAUGUAUACAUAUUUUCUUGGGAGACAAUGUUGGCUGUCUCCAGUUUUGGCAUAACUUGUCUCUCCUGUGACAAACCUACUGAAUCUUUAGAAAGAAUUAGUUAGAAAAUGAAAACAUAAAGCCAACCAGUAAACACGACCGUCUUUGUACGUUUAAACACACCACUACCUCUGCUGUGAAGUUUGCUGCUCCUGGUUAGAUGCCAUAUUGAGACUAAUGAAGUUGGAGCAGUCACUGAUCUCACCCUGUAAGUGAUGGAGCAGUGUAAGCUGAAACCAAAAAUAAACUCAUCUGCUAUCAAGGACAAUCAGAAGCUUUCACAGGGAAUUUCAAAGCAGAUGGGCAAAAAGACUGUGAAAGAUGCUGCUUUAUUUCUUUCAAGGAAUAUGAAAAGGCUGCAAAUCUCAGAGCAAUGUUGAAGUUGCAAUGCGGCUCUUUCAGUCUGUGUGAGUUACAGAGGGGGCUUUCUACCUAAG